AUUGAACGCUGGCGGCAGGCCUAACACAUGCAAGUCGAGCGAGCGGCGGACGGGGGAGUAAUGUCUGGGGAACUGCCCGUUGGAGGGGGAGAAAUACUGGAAACGGUAGCGAAUACCGCGUACCAUCUGAGGUGCGCAGAUGGGGUUAGCGAGUAGGUGGGGUAAUGGCUCACCUAGGCAACGAUCCCUAGCUGGUCUGAGAGGAUGACCAGCCACACUGGAACUGAGCCACGGUCCAGACUCCUACGGGAGGCAGCAGUGGGGAAUAUUGCACAAUGGGCGCAAGCCUGAUGCAGCCAUGCCGGGUGUGUGAAGAAGGCCUUCGGGUUGUAAAGCACUUUCAGCGAGGAGGCGUUACUCGCAGAAGAAGCACCGGCUAACUCCGUGCCAGCAGCCGCGGUAAUAC
rnacentral:rRNA from 1 species